rnacentral:rRNA from 1 species
ACAUUGUGUUUAAUCGGUUAUUAAGCAUCGAGUGUUAAAUAUGCUAGUCCUUUCAUGAUUAUGUGAUAGGUGGUGCAUGGCCGUUCUUAGUUCGUGGAGUGAUCUGUCUGCUUAAUUGCGUUUCACUAAGGGCCCAUAAAUUCAAGGUAUGUUAGCUAUCGUCGCUCUAUGGACCCCUUAUACUCGAUUUCGCUUUAAUUAGCGUUAUUUGUUUAAUAAGCGCGCGUCUUUAUUUAAUGARUUUAAGACACUGCGCAUG